rnacentral:rRNA from 1 species
UACGGGGGGAGCAAGCGUUGUUCGGAUUUACUGGGCGUAAAGGGCGCGUAGGCGGCCAGUGCAAGUCAGUUGUGAAAUCUCCGAGCUUAACUCGGAAAGGUCAACUGAUACUGCUUGGCUAGAGUGCGGAAGGGGCAACUGGAAUUCUUGGUGUAGCGGUGAAAUGCGUAGAUAUCAAGAGGAACACCUGCGGCGAAGGCGGGUUGCUGGGCCGACACUGACGCUGAAGUGCGAAAGCUAGGGGAGCGAACGGG